AAGCGUCCCACCUAGCCCAUAGAGGUUAACAGUGUGUGCCUGGUACGGACCUGAGGAUGCUUAAAAAAACAGCAAGCAUUGUGUGGAAUUAGAGCAAGUCACAUAAACCAAACAAUGGAUGGAGGUGAAAGAAAACAUUCAAAAAUUACAGUGACCUCUUGAAGCGAAUUGUGUCAAACCACCUAAUUAUCGACAACAAAAAGCAUGAGUCAACAACAGAAAAGAAGAAAAAGAAUCCCUGGACUACCAUUUGUAAUGAAUUCAACUCAACUGAAAAAGUAAACUAAAGGACUUGACAACAACUUAAUGUAAAAUGGGAAAAUGUUCUUGUGUAAUACCACACAGUGGCCUCUAAAUGUAUUUGUGUGGCAAAUGUAACAAACAAUAUCAUACAUAAUGACUAAUAUAAUUUCUGUAUUGUCUUGUCUUCCUGUUCCUGUGAAAAAAACUAAAAAAUCUACUUAAAGAAGACAUGCUGUUGCUCGUAAGGAACAUUUCAAGACUGGUAGGACCAGACAGUAUCACGUUUCAGGUAAGACCCAGACACAUAGUAACAACCGUUUAUUAAUCGACAAGGGGCAGACAAAAGACGGGUCAAGGGCAGGCAGGGGUCAGUAAUUCAGAUAGGUGGGGCAAAGGUACAGGACGGCUGUCACAUCCUGACCAGUAAAGAGGUUAUUUGUUAUUGUAGUUUGGUCAGGACGUGGCAGGGGAUGUUUGUUUUAUGUGGUUUGGGGUUUGUUGGGAUAUGUACUUAUGUAAGAGGGGUGUUUGUUUUAUGUGUUCCGGGGUUUUUGGGUAUUGUUCUGGUUUUGUAUUUCUAUGAUUUUGUAGGUUGUGUAUUUCUUUGUUGGCCUGGUAUGGCUCUCAAUCAGGAACAACUGUACAUCGUUGUUGCUGAUUGGGAGUCAUACUUAGGUAGCCCUUUUUUCACCUGUGGUUUGUGGGAAGUUGUUUUUGCACUGCUGUGUUUAGCCUGCAAUACUGUGCGUUCGUUCGUUUUCUUGUUUUGUUAUUUAAGUGUUCAAUAAAAGUUCAAAUGAGCACUCAACCCGCUGCGCCUUGAUCUA
rnacentral:lncRNA from 1 species